rnacentral:sRNA from 1 species
UGAUAUCGGAAGCCCGAGAAAGUUUUGGU